AUGUGUCUGACAUACCGAUCCUUAUGGCAGUGUGUCGCACCUGCUAAUAGGCAGAAUGAGAUCAAGUUUUGAAAUCAAUAUUGCAUCGGCAUCUGGUUCUUUCAGGAAACCAUUUCAAGCUUUCAUCAGCCACGCAAGAUGUGUUCAGAUUUACUGAUGGCGGAGGCUGCGGCAGAGACCAAAAAGUCAAUAGAAUGAGAGAAUUUGCAAAGAUAGGGCAGCCUCGAUAUCUUUGCUCUUAAUUCCCUCUACGUUUACUUGUUUUUCACUUUCUUUAUAACAGAAUAUUUGCUGUAAUCAUUAAAUUUUGCAUCUAAAGUGGUAUACCAAAGCCUUGAUUUCUCCUUGAAAAUGACCAACUUCUGCCUAAUUUUGGAGACAAUUUAACCCACAAGAAAAGGGGAGUUUCAACCAA